CCCCAAAAGGCAACUGACAGCUUAAUUCAGCGGUAACUGCCGUCAAUGCUUUCUUAACCGCGUUCGAAUUAGAUGCAGCGCCUCGAACCUGAGGCGCGAUUUUCCCUCCCAUUCAACUGCGCCCCGGUUCUCCCCGAACCGGGCGCUUUUUUAAGUCAUGGGACAGAAGGACAAGACCGAGGCCGAGGAGUGGAUUGAGAGCGCUAUCCUUUCGCUCGAAUACGUUCCCCACGAUGACGUUCAACUCCGCCAGGUAGCUAGCGCAAUCGAGUGGUAUCGCU
rnacentral:misc_RNA from 1 species